CCAGCAGCCGCGGUAAUAUUAUUGGGCGUAAAGAGCUCGUAGGCGGUUUGUCGCGUCUGCUGUGAAAACUGGAGGCUCAACCUCCAGCCUGCAGUGGGUACGGGCAGACUAGAGUGCGGUAGGGGAGAUUGGAAUUCCUGGUGUAGCGGUGGAAUGCGCAGAUAUCAGGAGGAACACCGAUGGCGAAGGCAGAUCUCUGGGCCGUUACUGACGCUGAGGAGCGAAAGGGUGGGGAGCAAACAGGCUUAGAUACCCUGGUAGUCCACCCCGUAAACGUUGGGAACUAGUUGUGGGGUCCAUUCCACGGAUUCCGUGACGCAGCUAACGCAUUAAGUUCCCCGCCUGGGGAGUACGGCCGCAAGGCUAAAACUCAAAGGAAUUGACGGGGACCCGCACAAGCGGCGGAGCAUGCGGAUUAAUUCGAUGCAACGCGAAGAACCUUACCAAGGCUUGACAUAUACGAGAACGGGCUAGAAAUAGUCAACUCUUUGGACACUCGUAAACAGGUGGUGCAUGGUUGUCGUCAGCUCGUGUCGUGAGAUGUUGGGUUAAGUCCCGCAACGAGCGCAACCCUCGUUCUAUGUUGCCAGCACGUAAUGGUGGGAACUCAUGGGAUACUGCCGGGGUCAACUCGGAGGAAGGUGGGGAUGACGUCAAAUCAUCAUGCCCCUUAUGUCUUGGGCUUCACGCAUGCUACAAUGGCCGGUACAAAGGGCUGCAAUACCGUAAGGUGGAGCGAAUCCCAAAAAGCCGGUCCCAGUUCGGAUUGAGGUCUGCAACUCGACCUCAUGAAGUCGGAGUCGCUAGUAAUCGCAGAUCAGCAACGCUGCGGUGAAUACGUUCCCGGGUCUUGUACACACCGCCCGUCAAGUCAUGAAAGUCGGUAACACCUGAAGCCGGUGGCCCAACCCUUGUGGAGGGAGCCGUCGAAGGUGGGAUCGGUAAUUAGGACUAAGUCGUAACAGGGUAACCGUAAA
rnacentral:rRNA from 1 species